ACUUGGGAUGCAAAGAGGGGCCUGGAAUUAUACAGGAGACAGAGAGAGUUCUCCUGGUCAGUUGCCAGAGAGUUCAGGAUGAAUUAAGGAUGUCCGAUGUCAUCAUGGACAUGGCGACCAACGGAGCCAUGCAGCUUCUGAAAGAGGAGUGUUGGAAGUUGAACUUCUUGCACCUAAAGGAUGAGACAUGCCAGGCCACUGAGCUCACUGGGCUGUACGGACAUUCUGAGACCUCUUCAAAGGAAACUCUAAUUGAAGAGAAAAGUCCAAAGACCAAGUGCCCGGCCAGUGUCGCUGGGGCUGCUGACAUUGACAACACCAAUGAGGAGGCUUCAGAGGAGUCUCCGAAUAACAAUGCUGUGGGCGUUCAGGCUGAGCCGCUGGCCCUGGUCAGUGUGGAGAAAGAGGCUGCUGGAGAUGGAAAGGUCCUCAGCAAGGUGGUGAAGCCCAAAGGGUGGCUGAAGGAGGGCUGCAAAGAUCAUCUAACCCCAACAAUCUAUGAUAUGAUUACGGAACUACUAAAGUCCUAUUUCGGAUCCACUGAGAGCCUUCCUGAGAUGUGUAGCAGAGGUCCUGGGGUGUGCAGUGGAGUGCCUGAGGUGAGUAGCAGAGGUCCUGAGGUGACCAGCAGAGGUCCAAGGGUGUGCAAUGGAGUGCCUGAGGUGUCAAAUGCCGUGGGAGAGGUGUCAAGUGACACAAAGAAGACAGAGGCUACUGGAGACCUUUUGAACACUGGAAAUGGCCUGAGAAAGGUGGCGCAGCUAUCCCCCGAGAGCCAUCCUGAGGUGUGCAAUGGAGAGGCUGAGCUGUGCAGCGGUCCUGAGGUGUGCAGCGGAGGUCCUGAGGUGUGCCUGGGGUGA
rnacentral:lncRNA from 8 species